rnacentral:rRNA from 1 species
GAUGAACGCUAGCGGCAGGCUUAACACAUGCAAGUCGAGGGGUAUAGUUCUUCGGAGCUAGAGACCGGCGCACGGGUGCGUAACGCGUAUGCAAUCUACCUUUUGCAGAGGGAUAGCCCAGAGAAAUUUGGAUUAAUACCUCAUGGUAUGUGAGAAUGGCAUCAUUUUCACAUUAAAGUCACAACGGCAAAAGAUGAGCAUGCGUCCCAUUAGCUAGUUGGUAAGGUAACGGCUUACCAAGGCAACGAUGGGUAGGGGUCCUGAGAGGGAGAUCCCCCACCAUGGUACUGAGACACGGACCGGACUCCGACGGGAGGCAGCAGUGAGGAAUAUUGGACAAGGGGCGCAAGCCUGAUCCAGCCAUGCCGCGUGCAGGAUGACGGUCCUAUGGAUUGUAAACUGCUUUUGUACAGGAAGAAACACUGGUUCGUGAACCAGCUUGACGGUACUGUAAGAAUAAGGAUCGGCUAACUCCGUGCCAGCCGCCGCGGUAUAC